UAGGGAUACCCGCUGAACUUAAGCAUAUCAAUAA
rnacentral:rRNA from 1 species